rnacentral:rRNA from 1 species
AAUUCGGCUUAGAGUUUGAUCCUGGCUCAGAACGAACGCUGGCGGCAGGCUUAACACAUGCAAGUCGAACGCCCCGCAAGGGGAGUGGCAGACGGGUGAGUAACGCGUGGGAACGUACCCUUUACUACGGAAUAACUCAGGGAAACUUGUGCUAAUACCGUAUGUGCCCUUCGGGGGAAAGAUUUAUCGGUAAAGGAUCGGCCCGCGUUGGAUUAGCUAGUUGGUGGGGUAAAGGCCUACCAAGGCGACGAUCCAUAGCUGGUCUGAGAGGAUGAUCAGCCACAUUGGGACUGAGACACGGCCCAAACUCCUACGGGAGGCAGCAGUGGGGAAUAUUGGACAAUGGGCGCAAGCCUGAUCCAGCCAUGCCGCGUGAGUGAUGAAGGCCCUAGGGUUGUAAAGCUCUUUCACC